rnacentral:rRNA from 1 species
AGUGAACGCUGGCGGUAGGCCUAACACAUGCAAGUCGAACGGCAGCACAGUAAGAGCUUGCUCUUACGGGUGGCGAGUGGCGGACGGGUGAGGAAUACAUCGGAAUCUACUUUUUCGUGGGGGAUAACGUAGGGAAACUUACGCUAAUACCGCAUACGACCUACGGGUGAAAGCAGGGGAUCUUCGGACCUUGCGCGAUUGAAUGAGCCGAUGUCGGAUUAGCUAGUUGGCGGGGUAAAGGCCCACCAAGGCGACGAUCCGUAGCUGGUCUGAGAGGAUGAUCAGCCAAACUGGAACUGAGACACGGUCCAGACUCCUACGGGAGGCAGCAGUGGGGAAUAUUGGACAAUGGGCGCAAGCCUGAUCCAGCCAUACCGCGUGGGUGAAGAAGGCCUUCGGGUUGUAAAGCCCUUUUGUUGGGAAAGAAAAGCAGCGGGUUAAUACCCCGCUGUUCUGACGGUACCCAAAGAAUAAGCACCGGCUAACUUCGUG